rnacentral:rRNA from 1 species
AUAUUACUAAGCGGAGGAGAAGAAAUUAACAAAGAUUACCUUAGUAAGGGCGACUGAACCGGUAAAAGCUCAAAAUUGGAAUCGAUGAUUCAACGAAUCUUCGAAUUGUAAUCAGGUCCGCCUAAAUACGAACGAUUGCUCAAGUACGUCGAAACGUACGCCAGAGAGGGUGAAAGCCCCGUACAGCAUUCGUCCGAGUAAGGGGGAUUCCACAAGAGUCGGGUUGCUUGGAACUGCAGCCCUAAGUGAGAGAUAUGAAUCUUCCAAAGCUAAAUAUUGAUGGGAGACCGAUAGCGAACAAGUACUGUGAAGGAAAGAUGAAAAGGACUUUGAAAAGAGAGUGAAAAGAUCUGAAAUCGUUGAGAAGGAAGCGGUAGAAACUGAUGAUCGUUAUGACAAGCUACGCGGUGAACAGCCGCGCAAGUUUGACUAAGACGAUGGGCAAAAUCGAGUUGCAUGCAUCAAAAAAGGCUUUGCCUUGUAGGGUGCAGUCAGCUCGAGGGACUAUUGUGAUUUUGCCAAAAUGGUUUUUACUGU